rnacentral:lncRNA from 1 species
GCCUAGUUACACAACAUUUGGACUGUCGCUUGUCAAAACAGACGGACCCGGUAGUGUCUUGUAUCCGACUCGUUACGUCCUACAAUUUCACCAAGCAGAACCCAAUUGAGUCUUCAAAAAAGAAGUUAUUCACAUAAUGAUGGCUCGUUGCAAAACUAUUGAUUGCAGAGUACAACCUAUUAUUGAUUUAAAUCUGUAAACACACGAACAUGUACUUUAUUUGAACAAAAAUAAUUUAGAUUUUG